GUGGGGAAUAUUGGACAAUGGGCGAAAGCCUGAUCCAGCCAUGCCGCGUGUGUGAAGAAGGUCUUCGGAUUGUAAAGCACUUUAAGUUGGGAGGAAGGGCAGUAAGUUAAUACCUUGCUGUUUUGACGUUACCGACAGAAUAAGCACCGGCUAACUUCGUGCCAGCAGCCGCGGUAAUACGAAGGGUGCAAGCGUUAAUCGGAAUUACUGGGCGUAAAGCGCGCGUAGGUGGUUUUGUAAGUUGGAGGUGAAAUCCCCGGGCUCAACCUGGGAACUGCCUCCAAAACUGCAUGACUAGAGUAAGGUAGAGGGUAGUGGAAUUUCCUGUGUAGCGGUGAAAUGCGUAGAUAUAGGAAGGAACACCAGUGGCGAAGGCGACUACCUGGACUGAUACUGACACUGAGGUGCGAAAGCGUGGGGAGCAAACAGGAUUAGAAACCCCAGUAGUCC
rnacentral:rRNA from 1 species